AGCAUUGGUGCAGAGCAUGUUAAGCUUGCAUGUCCUGGUCUGAUUCAGGCUUGCGAUGAGAACCAUAAAAGAAAGUUUGAUCGAAGCCUCAUGUGGGUGAAAAGUGAAUUUAGUUCUACCAAGACCAAGUUGGAGCCUUACAUUCGGAUGGAGCGAAGGAUCAUCAGAUACAUGGAGUCAAAAGCA